rnacentral:rRNA from 1 species
UACAGAGGUCUCAAGCGUUGUUCGGAUUCAUUGGGCGUAAAGGGUGCGUAGGCGGCGCGGUAAGUCGGGUGUGAAAUCUCGGGGCUUAACUCCGAAACUGCAUUCGAUACUGCCGUGCUUGAGGACUGGAGAGGAGACUGGAAUUUACGGUGUAGCGGUGAAAUGCGUAGAUAUCGUAAGGAAGACCAGUGGCGAAGGCGGCCUGCUGGGCAGUAGCUGACACUGA